AUCAAAUAUAUUUCACUUAAAAGAUAUUUUCAAUUUGUAUAUUACACUAAAUCUUAAAAUUUUAUCUAUAUAAAAUGUUAGUUAGGAUUGUAAAGAGCACUAAGACAAAUUUUAUAAUAAAAUAAAUUAAAGUAGUUUAGUUUAUAUAAGUUCACAUCAGGGUCACAUCAGGUUGAUUUUCGUUUAUAUAGACUGUCAAAUACCUUCACUUAAAGGCGAUAUUCAAUUUGUAUAUACAUUAAAUCUCAAAAUUCUCCCUAUAUAAAACGUAUUUAAGACUGUAACGAGCAGGAAGACAAAAUUUAUUAAAAAAUAAAUUAAAAUAUUCAGUUGAUAUAAGUUCACAUCAGGUUCACAUAAGGUUCACAUCAGGUUGAUUUUCGGUUUUAUGGACUGUCGAACACAUUUCACUUAAAAGACAUAUUCAAUUUGUAUAUUACACUAAAUCUCAAAAUUCUCUCAAUAUAAAAUAUCAGUUAAAAUCGUAAAGAGCAACAAGACAAAUUUUAUUAAAAAAAGAUAGUUCAGUUGAUAUAGUUCACAUCAGAUUCAUAUCAGGUUGACUUUUUAGUUAAUUAUUAAUUAUUUUGUCAAUCCACAAGUUUAUUUUCAAUAAAAUAAAUGUUUAAUAAAUUAAUUUCAACAUUAGUCAUCAAUUUAUUAAAAAAUUAUUUUAAUUUAUAUUAUUUUAUACGUUUAUAUUAAGUUCACAUUUAGUCUAUAUGAACAUCAAUUAGCCUUCAUCUCUCCUAUGGAACCGUUUGAAACAUUGAUCAAGCCACCUAGAUUAACACUUGAGUUCUGAAAUUUCUCAAAACAUGUCAUGCAUAGAAAAAUAUAAGUUUUAUUGUAGGCUCUAACAUUUUUCCACUACCUGUCUCCAUUUAAGGCUUUCAAACCAUCUUAAUUUGCCUCCUCAUUAGCAUUCCUCAGUUAAUGAAUUCACAUAGAACAAACACAAAUUAUCAUAGGAGUCAAACAUGGGCAUCAUUAUUUGUCUCUAAUGACUCUCCCAUCUGCAUCCCAGAAUAGCCACUGAAACUUGCUCUCCUUGAUGAAUCACACACCUUCAUAUAGUGAUAAUUGUCACUUGAGAUUGGAUUUAUCAUAUGAGUCAACCAUGGACAUCCAUAUUUAUUGUUUAAAAUUUUUCCUAUAAGCAUGUUCAAAUUUGUUGCUUCUGUCGGGUCUUCUACUCCUAUCACAGUUUUUCUUAUAAGCAUGACAAAUGAUUUUAUUACUGGUAUGUGCUUCCAAUUUAUAUCUCUAUUAUUUUAGUUGUUUUGUGACUAUAGUUUUCAUUAGCAAAGCACAUGUUCUUCUUGAUUUAACGUGGAAUGCUAUUUGUCAAGUUCAUGAUAGUAUUAAAUUUAAUUUGAAAUUUAUAUCACUUUCAAUACUCUGAUCUACAAUUAUUUUUCUUCCUUUGCCGAGCUUCUUACUUUGUCACUGCCAUCAUCAUUACUAAAAACAACAGAAGAGCUUUUAAAUACUUGCAACCAGCAAAUUGAUGAAGCUCCGGUCAAAAAGAAAUUAGAUCGCCGGCGGUCCGAUCACCACCAACAAUCACGCCAUCAGAUCACGAUCAGACCAAGCUCGCCAUAAAGUGAUGGAGUAAUGGAGGAAGUGAAGAAAAAAAAACGUAGAGAAGAAGAGAAAGUGGGGAAGGGAGGGGGGAUUGAGUGUAUGAAGUACAUAAUAGUAAAUGUAGAACAGCAGCUAUAGAGCAGGGUUAAUUAAGUAACUUGCAAAUGAAAGGGGUAGAGCUGAAAAUGGAAAAUUAAAAAAGAGGGAUUUUUGCUAAAAAUAUUAUGAUGGGUCACUAACAUAAACUUUUCAGAUUUUGGGGUAUAUGGUGACAUUUUCUCUUUU